rnacentral:rRNA from 1 species
UACGGAGGGUGCAAGCGUUAUCCGGAAUCACUGGGUUUAAAGGGUGCGUAGGCGGCUAGAUAAGUCAGAGGUGAAAGUUUGUCGCUUAACGAUAGAACUGCCUUUGAUACUGUUAAGCUUGAAAGUAGGUGAGGUUGGCGGAAUGUGACAUGUAGCGGUGAAAUGCAUAGAUAUGUCAUAGAACACCGAUUGCGAAGGCGGCCGGCUAACCUGUCUUUGACGCUGAGGCAAGAAAGCGUGGGUAGCAAACAGG